rnacentral:rRNA from 1 species
ACGAACGCUGGCGGCGUGCUUCACCCCUGCAAGUCGCACGGAAAGGCCCUGCUUUUGUGGGGUGCUCGAGUGGCGAACGGGUGAGUAACACGUGAGUAACCUGCCCUUGACUUUGGGAUAACUUCAGGAAACUGGGGCUAAUACCGGAUAGGAGCUCCUGCUGCAUGGUGGGGGUUGGAAAGUUUCGGCGGUUGGGGAUGGACUCGCGGCUUAUCAGCUUGUUGGUGGGGUAGUGGCUUACCAAGGCUUUGACGGGUAGCCGGCCUGAGAGGGUGACCGGCCACAUUGGGACUGAGAUACGGCCCAGACUCCUACGGGAGGCAGCAGUGGGGAAUAUUGCACAAUGGGCGGAAGCCUGAUGCAGCAACGCCGCGUGCGGGAUGACGGCCUUCGGGUUGUAAACCGCUUUCGCCUGUGACGAAGCGUGAGUGACGGUAAUGGGUAAAGAAGCACCGGCUAACUACGUG